rnacentral:rRNA from 1 species
UUUGAUGCCGAAGCCAGCGACGAAACAGCCGAGAAAAACCAACGUGGACGAAAUAAGUGCCCGUACCACAAACUGACACAGGUAGACGAGGCGAAUAGCCUCAGGCGCUCGAGACAACUCCCUUUAAGGAACUAGGCAAUUUUCCCCCGUACGUUCGCAAUAAGGGGUGCCCACUAUGAAAAUAGCGGGCCGCAGAGAAAAGGGUCUGGCAACUGUUUAUCAAAAACACAGGUCUGUGCUAAAGCGCAAGCUUACGUAUACAGACUGACGCCUGCCCGCUGUCGGAAGGUUAAGGAAGGAGGUCAUCCCGCAAGGGUGCAGCUUUCAACUGAAGCCCCGAUAAAAGGCGGCCGUAACUAUGACGGUCCUAAGGUAGCGAAGUUCCUUGUCAGGUAAGUUCUGACGCGCAUGAAUGGCGUAAUGACUGGACCAGUGUCUCAAAGGGAGACUCGGUGAAAUUGGAGUUGUGGUGUAGAUACCACAGUCCCGCGGCAAGACGGAAAGACCCCAUGAACCUUUACUGUAGCCUGAUAGUGAUCCCAGUUGUUGUCUGCGUAGGAUAGGUGGGAGGCAAUGAUCCAGUGGUCUCGGCCACUGGGGAGUCAACGGUGAAAUACCACCCUGAUUACAUUUGAGAUCUAACCCCGAACCGUGAAUCCGGUCGGGAGACACUGUUAGGUGGGCAGUUUGACUGGGGCGGUCUCCUCCUAAACUGUAACGGAGGAGUUCUAAGGUUGGCUUAGUGUGUUUGGAAAUCACACUGUUAGGGCAUGGCCAUAAGCCAGCUUAACUGCGAGUCGGAUAUGACAAGCAGAUGCGAAAGCAGGACCAAGUGAUCCGGUGAUUCCUAAUGGACGGGUCAUCGCUCAACAGAUAUAAGGUACUCUGGGGAUAACAGGCUGAUCGCGCCCGAGCGUCCAUAGCGGCGGCGCGGUUUGGCACCUCGAUGUCGGCCCAUCGCAUCCUGGGGCUGAAGGCGGUCCCAAGGGGUUUGGCUGUUCGCCAAUUAAAGCGGUACGCGAGCUGGGUUCAGACCGGCGUGAGCCAGGUCGGUCCCUAUCUGCCGUGGGCGCAGGAUUAUUGAAGAGGACUCAACCCUAGUACGAGAGGAUUAGGUUGGACGGACCCCUGGUAUACCUAUUGCACCGCUAGGUGCACCGUAGGGUAGCUAUGUCCGGAUAGGAUAAACGCUGAAAGCAUCUAAGCGUGAAACCCUCCUCAAGAUGAGUAAUCCCCACUAGCCUCCACGUAGACUACGUGGUUGAUAGGCCGGAUGUGUAAGUGCAGUAAUGUACUCAGCAGACCGGUACUAACAGGCGACUGGCUUGACCAC